rnacentral:rRNA from 1 species
GGUUAAGCGACCAAGCGUACACGGUGGAUGCCCUGGCAGUCAGAGGCGAUGAAGGACGUGCUAAUCUGCGAAAAGCGCCGGUAAGGUGAUAUGAACCGUUAUAACCGGCGAUGUCCGAAUGGGGAAACCCAGUGUGACUCGUCACACUAUCAUUAACUGAAUCCAUAGGUUAAUGAGGCGAACCGGGGGAACUGAAACAUCUAAGUACCCCGAGGAAAAGAAAUCAACCGAGAUUCCCCCAGUAGCGGCGAGCGAACGGGGAGGAGCCCAGAGCCUGAAUCAGCAUAUGUGUUAGUGGAAGCGUCUGGAAAGGCGCGCGAUACAGGGUGACAGCCCCGUACACAAAAGCGCAUGUGCUGUGAGCUCGAUGAGUAGGGCGGGACACGUGGUAUCCUGUCUGAAUAUGGGGGGACCAUCCUCCAAGGCUAAAUACUCCUGACUGACCGAUAGUGAACCAGUACCGUGAGGGAAAGGCGAAAAGAACCCCGGCGAGGGGAGUGAAACAGAACCUGAAACCGUGUACGUACAAGCAGUGGGAGCCUCUCUUUAUGGGGGGUGACUGCGUACCUUUUGUAUAAUGGGUCAGCGACUUAUAUUCUGUAGCAAGGUUAACCGUAUAGGGGAGCCGGAGGGAAACCGAGUCUUAACCGGGCGUUAAGUUGCAGGGUAUAGACCCGAAACCCGGUGAUCUAGCCAUGGGCAGGUUGAAGGUUGGGUAACACUAACUGGAGGACCGAACCGACUAAUGUUGAAAAAUUAGCGGAUGACCUGUGGCUGGGGGUGAAAGGCCAAUCAAACCGGGAGAUAGCUGGUUCUCCCCGAAAGCUAUUUAGGUAGCGCCUCGUGAACUCAUCUCCGGGGGUAGAGCACUGUUUCGGCCAGGGGGCCAUCCC